rnacentral:lncRNA from 1 species
CUGCAUUUUAUUUAUUUCAGCCUUCUCUCUCUUUUUUUCUUAGUCUAGAUAAAGGCUUGUGGAUUUUGUUUUUUAAACCAGCUCUUCAUUUCAUUGAUCUUUAUUUUAGUCUUUUUUUGUUUAUUUCUUCUCUGAGCUUUAUUAUUUCCUUUUUAGAUUGCCAAUUUUGCCAAUUUUGAGUUUGGUUUGUUCCUGCUUAUCUCUCGCCUAAGUCUUAAAGAUUAAGAGCUUGUGAACAGAAUAUUGGCAGAAAUAUGGACAAUGAAGGCCUUUCUGAUGAGGUCUCAGAUGGAAAUGAGGAAUAUCUUAUUAGAAACUGAAGGCUUGAGAAAAAUGUCCUUAAGUGUCGUAAACUUGCAUCAAACCCACUUACUCAUCAAACCCCACUUAUGACUUCCCUUAGAGGACAAGCGACAUUUCAGCUCAGUUAUACACUGCUUUUCUCAAUUCCUGCCAUUUUUUUCUCUUCCUUUGCCCCCUGGCCUACGUCUCCAGCUCACUGAAAACAGCCUCCCCUGAUGAGCACACCAUUGUUAUGUAAUAGCCUAACCCUUACCCCUCGCCUAUCAGGGGGUGCCAAGCCUGCAGACUCACUCUGCCUUCCUCAAAACUGCCCUGAGGAGAAGGCUGAAGACUGAGGAAUCCUCUUUCUGCCUCCCAUUUGACUGCAUUUUCUUUGGUCAAAGGCUUCCUUAUUCAUGGGACCUGCCUGGGUCCAGGACCCCUUGACAGGUGCUCUCUGGCUGCCUGUCCUCUGGGCACUCUUGUCCCAGGUCUAUUGUUUUCAUGACCCACCAGGAUGGCGCUUCACUUCCUCAGAAAUUGUGAUCCCCAGGAAAGUGCCCCACAAGAGGGGUGGAGUUGAGAUGCCAGACCAGCUCUCUUACAGCAUGCGUUUCCGGGGCCAAAGACACGUGAUUCACAUGAAGCUCAAGAAGAACAUGAUGCCCAGACAUUUACCUGUUUUUACUGAUAAUGACCAAGGGGCCAUGCAGGAGAACUACCCUUUUGUCCCACGAGACUGUUACUAUGACUGCUACCUGGAAGGGGUUCCUGGGUCUGCGGCCACAUUGGACACCUGCCGUGGAGGUCUGCAUGGCAUGCUGCAGGUGGAUGACUUGACUUACGAAAUCAAACACCUGGAGGCUUCUUCCAAAUUUGAGCAUGUAGUAUCUCUGCUUGUGUCAGAAGAAAGACCAGGAGAGGCUAGUAGAUGUAAGACUGAAGGGGAAGAGAUAGAUCAAGAAUCUGAAAAGGUAAAACUGGCUGAAACUCCCAGAGCAGGCCACGUUUAUUUGUGGAGGCAUCAUAGAAAAAACUUGAAAAUUCACUACACGGUUACUCGUGGAUUAUUCAUGCGGAACCCUAAUGUGUCACAUAUAAUAGAGAAUGUAGUGAUUAUUAACAGCAUCAUACAUACCAUUUUCAAACCAGUUUAUUUAAAUGUCUAUAUAUGUGUUUUGUGCAUAUGGAAUCAAAAGGAUGCAGUACUAUUUUCUGCUAGCAGGCCAGGCCACGUUGCUGUAGAACUGUUUGGUGUGUGGAAAUAUCACAAUUUGUAUUCAGAAAUUUCACAUGAUACCUCAGUUGUUUUUACAUCAAAUCGACUUGGAAACAGUGAGUGUUAUGCCAGCUUUGAUGGAAUAUGCACCCCCAACUGGGGAGCAAUGUUUGUGUAUAUAAUGAGGUAUCACCUAUUUAGGGGGGCAUGUGUUACAGCACAUGCACUAGGUCAUAACAUGGGCUUGAGACAUGAUUCUGUUGGUUGUUAUUGUUUUCGACGAACCAACUGUCUCAUGACCCUGUUCCUGAUCUUAAUGAUAUGAUGAGCAAUUGUUCUUAUGAGAUAAUUCAACGCAAGUUUAAUCAAUGGGAUCCUUGUUUGAGUGCUCCAAAUGUUCCAUACACUAAUUUUCCAUACGUAGCUCCUCGUUGUGGAGACAAGAUCAAAAAUCAGAGGGAAGAAUGUGACUGUGGCUCCCUUAAAGAUUGUGCCAGUGAUAGAUGUUGUGAGACCUCUUGUACCCUUUCUCUUGGCAGUGUUUGCAAUACAGGACUUUGCUGCCAUAAGUGUAAAUAUGCUGCCCCUGGAGUGGUUUGCAGAGACUUGGGUGGUAUAUGUGAUCUACCGGAAUACUGUGAUGGGAAAAAGGAAGAGUGUCCAAAUGACAUCUACAUCCAGGAUGGAACCCCAUGUUCAGCAGUAUCUGUUUGUAUAAGAGGAAACUGCAGUGACCGUGAUAUGCAGUGUCAAGCCCUUUUUGGCUACCAAGUGAAAGACGGUUCCCCAGCGUGCUAUCGAAAAUUGAAUAGGAUUGGUAACCGAUUUGGAAACUGUGGGGUUAUUCUACGGCGAGGGGGAAGUAGACCUUUUCCAUGUGAAGAAGAUGAUGUUUUUUGUGGAAUGUUGCACUGUAGCGGUGUCAGCCACAUUCCCGGUGGAGGUGAGCACACUACAUUUUGUAAUAUAUUAGUACACGACAUAAAAGAAGAAAAAUGCUUUGGCUAUGAAGCACACCAGGGGACAGACUUGCCAGAAAUGGGGCUGGUAGUGGAUGGUGCAACCUGUGGCCCAGGGAGCUACUGUCUUAAACGCAAUUGUACUUUUUAUCAAGACCUGCAUUUUGAGUGUGAUCUUAAAACAUGCAAUUACAAAGGAGUAUGUAACAACAAAAAACAUUGUCAUUGUCUGCAUGAGUGGCAACCACCAACAUGUGAACUGAGAGGAAAAGGAGGUAGUAUAGAUAGUGGCCCUCUACCUGACAAACAAUAUCGUAUUGCAGGCAGCAUACUUGUAAAUACAAACCGAGCACUAGUUUUAAUAUGUAUUCGUUACAUCCUUUUUGUGGUUUCGCUUCUCUUUGGUGGCUUUUCACAAGCAAUACAAUGUUAGGGAAGAGAAAGGAAAAGAGCCCACACAAUGGAGUAAAUUACAUUGACACUUACUGGGAGAUAUAAUCAAUAGUCACUCUGACAAUUACAUCAUCUUUUAGCAAUUCUGAUGUCAUCUUGAAAUAAAAUCACUUGGCAAUUU